rnacentral:rRNA from 1 species
GGACUACUAGGGUAUCUAAUCCUGUUCGCUACCCACGCUUUCGCUCCUCAGCGUCAGGUAAGGCCCAGAGAGCCGCCUUCGCCACCGGUGUUCUUCCUGAUAUCUGCGCAUUCCACCGCUACACCAGGAGUUCCGCUCUCCCCUGCCUACCUCUAGUCUGCCCGUAUCGGAAGCAGGCUCGGGGUUAAGCCCCGAGUUUUCACUCCCGACGUGACGAACCGCCUACGAGCCCUUUACGCCCAAUAAUUCCGGACAACGCUCGGACCCUACGUAUUACCGCGGCUGCUGGCAC